UUUCAGCAUGGAAUAAACUUGUUCCUUUGCAGACAUGGAAAAUGACGCCUAAUUGCAGCCUCACUAUUUAAGAUUCCAUUCUUUUAUAAGAGGUGCUGCUGUUUGAAGUCGUGAACGUCGGAUGCUGGAGACUUCAAUCAGACUCUGGCUGGUUUCCAGCGGGCUCUGAGCAGGAGGUCUCGCCGCCAGCUGAGCUGGCUAAUUGAGACACUGGAGUGGGGGAACAGCUGCGCUCUUCCGGGAACACGCCUGUCCCCCUGCUGGAGUCCGGGCAUACAAUUACAAAUAUUGAUGUGGGCAAGGUACAUCAUAAUGAGAUUACGAGGCAGUUAAGGUUUCCGAGGGCUGUUUUCGUGAACACGCAAGCGCCCUUAACUGAUCUUUUGCCUCUCUCUCUCUUCUUGUCGGAUGCGCCCAGCGCUCCGGGCUGUUGGAUAACAUUACUCGGCGCUCUCGGCUUGCAGAAAACGUUUUGUAGUAUUGUUCCUGCUGCGCGUACUGAACGCAGGCCAGGUCCGUGCCUACAGACCGUUUCAAGCUCAGUAUAUCCCAGCCGUGUUGGUUUGGGAAAUACGGACCGGCCCCGUGAGGUGAGAUGGAAGAUGUUUCCCGACAUCGCUGAAGCCCCCGGCGGAUAGGAGCGCCAACUCCCCGCCCUUUCGGGCAAAGCUGCAGUGCGCUCGGACUUCCUGCCCGUUUCGGCGGGUUCCGGUCGUCGGAUCAAUUAGCUAUUGACCUCCCGGGGGAGGGGGUCAGCUCACGGACUGUUUAGUCUGCAGUCAUGCACGGAGACGUGCUUACAAAGUCGUUUUUAUUUCCCCCGCAUUAUCGCAGCUCUGCUUUCGCGCUCAUGCCCGGCGCGGCGACGUUCCGUGAAGCUGCUCCCCGUCCUCUCUUUUAUAGAGAGAGCGCACACACAGAGACCCACUGCAUCUGUUUGUGCUCCGAGGGGCAGUCCCGGCCAGGCGACCCGGCAGUCGCAAAAGUCGAGAGCCCCGGGGGAAGGCUGUGCGCGUGCCGUUGCGCAGAUUCCUCCUUCCGUUCCCACGGCAACGCCUCUCUGCUGCUCACGCUGUGGCGCCCGGCUGAGGCUGUUUAAGUUUGUUUUGGAAAACUUAAAAGAAAAAUCAGUGCAAAGGAGAGGUCUCUCAGUCGCUGGCGUCCCCAGUGGGACCUGUAGCCUAGCAACAUCAGAAUCUCUUCCAGCUGAGAGCGUCGCCAUGGAAACAGCUCCCAUCGCUACAUGGCUUUUGAGGGUAGCUGGCACA